UGGGGGAUAUUGCACAAUGGGGGGAACCCUGAUGCAGCAACGCCGCGUGAGGGAAGAAGGUUUUCGGAUUGUAAACCUCUGUCCUUGGAGAAGAAAAGAAUGACGGUAACCAAGGAGGAAGCUCCGGCUAACUACGUGCCAGCAGCCGCGGUAAUACGUAGGGAGCAAGCGUUGUCCGGAAUUACUGGGUGUAAAGGGUGCGUAGGCGGCAAGGCAAGUCAGGUGUGAAAUACAUGGGCUUAACCCAUGGACUGCACUUGAAACUGCUUUGCUUGAGUGAAGUAGAGGCAGGCGGAAUUCCCGGUGUAGCGGUGAAAUGCGUAGAGAUCGGGAGGAACACCAGUGGCGAAGGCGGCCUGCUGGGCUUUAACUGACGCUGAGGCACGAAAGCAUGGGUAGCAAACAGG
rnacentral:rRNA from 1 species